GACGAACGCUGGCGGCGUGCCUAAUACAUGCAAGUAGGACGCUGAAGGAGGAGCUUGCUUCUCUGGAUGAGUUGCGAACGGGUGAGUAACGCGUAGGUAACCUGCCUGGUAGCGGGGGAUAACUAUUGGAAACGAUAGCUAAUACCGCAUAAUAGCAGUUGUUGCAUGACAACUGUUUGAAAGGUGCAAUUGCACCACUACCAGAUGGACCUGCGUUGUAUUAGCUAGUUGGUGGGGUAACGGCUCACCAAGGCGACGAUACAUAGCCGACCUGAGAGGGUGAUCGGCCACACUGGGACUGAGACACGGCCCAGACUCCUACGGGAGGCAGCAGUAGGGAAUCUUCGGCAAUGGACGGAAGUCUGACCGAGCAACGCCGCGUGAGUGAAGAAGGUUUUCGGAUCGUAAAGCUCUGUUGUAAGAGAAGAACGAGUGUGAGAGUGGAAAGUUCACACUGUGACGGUAUCUUACCAGAAAGGGACGGCUAACUACGU
rnacentral:rRNA from 1 species